AUGGCGGCAGACCUCGAACAGUUCCAACAGCUUUUAAACACACUUCUAAGCAUCGACAACGAUGUUCGGACGCAAGCCGAGGAAGCGUAUAACAAUCUUCCAGUGGAAAAUAAAGUGACGUUCCUACUUGGCUCCGUUUGCAAUGCUGCUCUUGCAGAGGAUAUGCGUGCCAUGGCAGCCGUUCUGCUGCGGAGACUCUUCUCUUCAGAAUUCAUGGAUUUCUAUCCAAAGAUUCCACCAGAGGCUCAAGCCCAGUUGAAAGAGAGAAUCUUACUUGCUGUACAAACUGAACAAACUGAUACGAUACGACGUAAGGUUUGUGAGGUUGCUGCCGAAGUUGCAAGAAACCUCAUCGACGACGAUGGCAAUAAUCAAUGGCCAGAAUUUCUUCAGUUCCUAUUCCAGUGCGCCAAUGGGCCAGUCCCUGCGCUGAAAGAAUGCGCUCUCCGCAUGUUCACAUCUGUCCCUGGUGUUUUUGGAAACCAGCAGGCCAAUUAUCUCGUCCUGAUAAAACAGAUGCUGCAACAGUCUGUACUAGACGCAGCAAAUUAUGAGGUACAAUUUCAAGCUGUUAGAGCGAUAGGUGCCUUCAUAAUGUUGCAUGACAAACAGACAAACAUUCAAAGACACUUUUCCGAGUUGCUCCCGGCGGUAGUCCAGGUAACUGCACAAUCUGUAGAGAAACAAGACGACGAAUCUCUGCUCAAGGUGUUGAUCGAUUUGGCCGAAUCAACCCCCAAGUUUUUGAGACCUCAGCUUGAAAACAUCAUGGAAAUGUGUAUGAAAAUUUUUUCAAACGAAGAAAUGGGUGACUCGUGGCGGCAGCUGGCUCUCGAAGUUUUAGUCACAUUAGCCGAAACAGCUCCGGCUAUGGUUCGGAAUGUUGGAGGUAAAUAUAUAGUGGCGCUUGUGCCAUUGGUGCUCAAGAUGAUGACGGAUCUUGAAGAUGACGAAGAAUGGGGCUUCUCCGAUGAACUUAUUGUAGAAGACAAUGACAGCAAUAAUGUAGUCGCCGAAAGCGCCUUAGACAGACUUGCCUGCGGACUUGGCGGCAAAACUAUGCUUCCACAAAUUGUACAGAACAUUCCGACCAUGCUGAGCAACACGGACUGGAAGUAUAGGCACGCUGCUCUAAUGGCCAUUUCAGCCGUUGGCGAAGGAUGUCACAAGCAAAUGGAAGCUAUAUUGCCGCAGAUUAUGGACGGAGUUAUACAAUACCUUCAAGACGCUCAUCCGCGUGUUCGGUACGCCGCCUGUAAUGCCGUGGGUCAAAUGUCUACGGACUUUGCUCCGAUCGUUGAAAAAAAGUUUCACGACAAAAUUAUACCCGGAUUGCUAAUGGUGCUGGACGAUAACGCAAAUCCCAGAGUUCAGGCUCACGCCGGAGCUGCCUUGGUGAAUUUUAGUGAAGAUUGUCCAAAAAAUAUUAUGACUCCUUACCUUGAUGCCAUUAUGGCUAAACUGGAAUCCAUUUUGACAGCGAAGUUUAGGGAAUUAGUUGAAAAAGGCACAAAACUCGUUCUCGAACAGGUUGUUACGACGAUUGCCUCCGUUGCAGACACCUGUGAGGAACAGUUUGUAACCUACUACGAUAGGCUCAUGCCAUGUUUGAAAUAUAUUAUACAGAACGCUAAUCAACAGGAGCACAAAAUGCUCAGGGGGAAAACAAUCGAAUGCGUCAGUCUCAUAGGUCUUGCCGUUGGACCAGAAAAGUUUAUCAGCGACGCGAGCGAAGUCAUGGACAUGCUGCUCAAAACACAUUCGGAAGGAGAACUUCCCGACGAUGAUCCCCAAACUAGUUAUCUCAUUUCUGCCUGGGCUCGAAUUUGCAAGAUUCUCGGCAAACAAUUCGAACAGUAUCUUCCGUUGGUUAUGGGACCUGUGCUCAGAACGGCGGCGAUGAAACCUGAGGUAGCGUUACUCGACAACGAAGACAUGGAAGGAGUCGAAGGAGAUUUAGACUGGCAGUUUGUGUCUCUCGGAGAGCAACAAAACUUCGGAAUCAAAACUGCUGGACUCGAAGACAAGGCCUCUGCCUGUGAGAUGCUCGUCUGUUACGCUCGGGAACUUAAAGAAGGCUUCGCAGACUACGCGGAAGAGGUCGUCAGACUUAUGGUGCCAAUGCUCAAAUUCUAUUUCCACGAUGGGGUGAGAACCGCUGCCGCAGAGAGUCUGCCCUGUUUGGUAGACUGUGCGAAAAUAAAGGGACCGCAAUACUUGGAAGGAAUGUGGGCUUAUAUUUGCCCCGAGCUGCUAAAAGCGAUCGACACGGAGCCUGAGACUGAGGUUUUGUUGGAGUUGCUCUUUUCCCUGGCAAAGUGUAUAGAAACUUUGGGAGCCGGUUGUUUGGAAACGCAGCAAAUGUCUGAGCUUCUCAGGAUCCUGAACAAAUUAUUGAACGAACAUUUUGACAGAGCAGUAGCGAGGCUGGAAAAAAGAAAGGACGAAGACUACGACGAGGUUGUAGAAGAACAACUAGUCGACGAGGUCACCGAGGAUAUUUUCACACUCAGUAAAAUAGCAGAUAUUCUUCAUGCCCUAUUCAAGACCCACAAAGCGGCGUUUUUCCCAUACUUUGAUCAGAUCUGCGGCCAUUUUGUCAAUCUAUUAGCACCGGAAAGGUCGUGGCCAGACCAUCAAUGGGCGCUCUGCGUCUUCGACGAUGUGAUAGAGUUCGGUGGUGCCGAAUGCGCCAAAUAUCAGGAAAUAUUCCUCAGGCCGAUGCUCCAGUACGUCUCCGACAAAUCUGCGGAUGUCAGGCAAGCAGCUGCCUAUGGUUGUGGGGUUCUCGGUCAGUUCGGGGGGGAAGUAUUUGCCCAAGCUUGCGCCGAAGCGCUCCCGAGGCUGAUGGAAGUUAUAAAUGAUCCGGAAUCAAGGUCACCCGAGAACGUCAAUCCCACCGAAAACGCCAUAUCUGCGGUAACAAAAAUCCUCAAAUACAACAGCAAAGCCAUAAAUGUCGACGAUAUGCUUCCUCACUGGCUGUCAUGGCUACCGGUUGUCGAAGAUGAAGACGAAGCGCCCCACGUUUAUGGAUAUCUUUGCGACCUCAUCGAAAGCAAUCACCCUGUCGUUCUCGGACCAAGCAAUGCAAAUUUGCCACGACUAAUUAGCUUCUUCGCCGAAGCGUUAUUUAAGGAUGCGGUACCUGCGGAAAAUCCUGUCAUGGCCAGGAUUCUCAGCAUCGUCAGACAGAUUCAGAACAACGAGACAAUGUUCCAGGCGUGCAUAAGUUAUUUAACCACGGAUCAGCAGCAAGCACUUCACGAGGCUCUCAGUGUACAGCCAACCAACUAGCUACGAUAAACGGCAGGGACUAACGGUUAGGGGGAAUAAUUGCUCAUUCGUGAAAGAGCUAGACACAAGAAGAAGGAGAACAAGAUAACAAAAAUAAUGUAAAGAAAAACGAAAAUCACAGAGACUUUUAGCGACGACAACGACGACGACUCUAAUAACUCAUCACUCUGCCAUACAAGUUUUCCCCGUUACUCUUCGAGUCAUUAUUUGUUAACUGAGUAAAGUUAUAUACCUAAACAAUAUACGAAAUUUUACGGAAUGUUGGAGAUUUUCAAAAUAAUUUUCUCAGAUAGGACGGAGCCUGUUUGUGAUUUUAAUUAUUUUUCUCUGCUAUAAAAAUUCUUUAACAAUUUUCUACUUGCUGACGGUUCUGAGAGUCAUUCGGUGAAUCAAGAAAUUAAAAAUUGGUAAUUACAACGAUGAUGAAUGCAGAGUUCACACCAUGUGGAAAUGCCUUGUUUUUAUUAAAAAAAAAAGUAAUGAAAUAAAAAUAAAAUAAAAUAGCAAAAUGAAAAUUAAUUAAAUUCGAUUAUUUGGAAAAGAAAACGAAGAGACUGGACGCCACCAGCACACAGAAAGCCCAUACCCUAAUGUAUGGCGCCACGACAUUGUGAUUUAGGUAUUUUUAUUAAUUAAAAUUUAGGUACAAUAAAUGUUAUUUAAUGAUGAUAAUAUUCAAUGAAUAUGUAUAUUAAAUCGCUCCGGCUUUGUUUUCCAAAAUUGCUAGAGCGGGCUUAUUACCAUGCAAAAGAAAAAUACGUAUGCACACAUAUGUAUAUCAAUUGAUCUACGUUAUCUCUCACUAUUUAAAUCCGAUUAUAAAUAUUUUUUUUCUAUGUUUUAUCACUAUUUUGCACUCCUUUAUCAGAAAUAAAUGUUUUUCACUUUUCUCGUAUUGUAUUUGAUGUACAGUUCGAGCAUGGAAAAGAAAAGGGGGAACAAAAAACGAAAAA
rnacentral:misc_RNA from 1 species